rnacentral:misc_RNA from 1 species
GAAAUGCGAUAUGUAAUGUGAAUUGCAGAAUUCAGUGAAUCAUCGAAUCUUUGAACGCACAUUGCGCCCCCUGGUAUUCCGGGGGGCAUGCCUGUUCGAGCGUCAUUUCACCACUCAAGCCUCGCUUGGUAUUGGGCAACGCGGUCCGCCGCGUGCCUCAAAUCGACCGGCUGGGUCUUCUGUCCCCUAAGCGUUGUGGAAACUAUUCGCUAAAGGGUGUUCGGGAGGCUACGCCGUAAAACAACCCCAUUUCUAAGGUUGACCUCGGAUCAGGUAGGGAUACCCGCUGAACUUAAGC